AAGGUCAUCUGCUUGCUAGCACAUGUGGCUACUCAUAUUUACAGUAGCUUUAAUGUUGUCAUUUCCGCGGACCUCUGGUUAGUGUGGCUAUAAUGGAACUAGUAUGGGAGGACCCCCAGGUCCCCGAUGCUCCUUUCUUUACCAAUGAUCUCUAUGUCAAAUAUUCACUUGCACCUAAUAUCAGAGAGCUGUGGGACUUUCUCCAAAGUCCUGUGCAGAACAUAAAACAGGACUGUGGGACUUCAAAAGCUUCCUCCCCCUCUUCUUCUACAAAAGACGCUGCAGCCUUUAAAGACAACAGUUGCAUCAGCAUGAAUGAAUCCUGCUCUGAAAGCGGUGAUACUGACGAUCCGUUUAUAGACAAUGACGGGCAGGGUGCAGCACAAUGUUGGGAUACAGAGAAAUCAAGGGGAAAGCUCAAGCAGAUUGAGAAAGAGGCGGGUGCUGUUUACCCUGAACCCAGACUGCCCUACCCCUGUCCGUCCAGCCUGUCAAUCAAUGGCCAGAAGACUUAUCUUGGCUUUUUGAUGAGUAAGAAAGCAAGCGAUCCUCCACUGAACUUGCAGGCACGAGUAAACAGUGAAGUGAUACAGUUCAUGAUGUACCUGCAAGACGUGGCCAAGAUAUGUGCUGACGACUACAACUUCAUAUCACAGGGAGCUAUGCAAUACUCAGAGGAGUUCUUCAGGGAGUGUUUGGAGCACAUCAGGACGUUUCCUGAGCUCUACCAGAUCCAUGAGAUGACUAGUCUGACCGGGGGAACAUUCAACCCAGGGCUGAAGCUGACCUUUGAGAAACAGCUGCUGAUCAUGGGCAAUGUGGAUAUUACAGACCACACGAUGGUGCCUGCUGAUGCACAGCUUGCAUCGGAUUAUCAGAGUGUUUCAUCACAGAAUCCUCCAGCUAAAAAAGCCAAGGACAUGCACGCUACAAUCAGCGGUGAUGUUAAUGCCAGCAGCCUGUGUGCUCGUUAUGAGCCUCAUGUGUGUCUCACUCGAGGCGCCCUCGUAAGGCUGCUAGAUAACCAUGGCCCAGACUUUGCAGAGCAGUGGGAAUUACCGGUUUGGAUCAAGUUAAACCCAGGAGAAGGCAAUGGACAGAAGAAGACUGUAUAUAUAGACUCACCCCUUCUGAAGACUGAGAUGACGGUGAAAGAGAGGAGCCAUGUCUUCCAUGAGGAGAGUCUGAAGCUCUCCAUCAAGAAGAAUGGGAGUAAAAAUGUCUUCCAUUUAAUGACGGAGCUUCGUGAGGAUGACCAGCAACUCUCUGGGAGAUCAAAAAGAAAUGUAGUGUCUGGUGAAAACAAUGGUCUUGACUUUGAGGUGGACCUUACUGACCUGGAGACAUUUGGUGAGACGAAACACAUUAAAACCCCAAAGACGCCGAAAAAGAAGAACGAGCAGGAUGCAUGUGUUGAAAGUACGAAAGCAUCAAGUUCUGCGUCUGUGACUAAUACUAAAAGGUCCAGUGAGCGUCCUGCAAACACUACCAGCAGUUCACAAGAAGAGAUGGACACCUCAGCGGCAGGUGAGGAUGAUCCCGUAACAGAGGAGAGAAAUCAGCCAGCUGGGAAUGAGGCCAUUGCACCAACAACUGAAGACAUGAGGCCGGACUCUGCUCAGGAAUGUAACGAAGACCCACCUUUUAUGGGAGAUUCUGAUGAAGAUCAACUGGUCAUUGAUGACUCCAUUGUGUCUCAAGCUCAAACACGUACUACACAAUGUAAGCCCACACCUCUCUCUGCUGACGCCAGAUCUGAUUCUCUAAAUUCAGAGUGUUCUUCCCCUGAAAAACCAACAAAGCAGAAACGACUUUCCAAAAAAGCAAAGGUAUCCGGCGACCAGCUGGGUGACAUUCUGCGCAUGCAGACAGCCAUGUUCAACUGUGACACGGCCAAAAGCUCCACCGUAUCCCAAGAGAUGAGCUCACCAGCCCGAGGUGUGGGACCCUCAGUUCACUCUUAUCCUACGUCUCUGGUGAAGCCCUGUGUGUCCUCAUAUUUGGAGAGAAAUAACAACCAGGAUGGAGAGAGCGGCGCUGCUUCUCACGAAUCUGCACCAGGGGCCAACAGUACAAAUACAAAGCAUAAAAAACUACUGUCAGAAGAACUGCAGGCUGGUGCAGAAGAUGAGCAAGAUUACGUCGCUCCAGAAGAAGGCAACCUGCUCUACAAGCUCUACAGUCUGCAGGACCUGCUGCUCAUGGUGCGGAGCUCUGUGUCACUGACCCAUAGCAGGAGAGUCGGCCAAAACGACCAAAACCAGCAUGUGCCAGUGCAUAUCUUGCCCAAGCUGGAGUACCAGCUGAGUUAUGGAGUUGAGUGUCUGAACAGCAGUGAGGCUUGCCAGCUGUGGACCGAGACAUUGCUCCACUCCAGCACUGUACCCUGCAUAGAGGGUUCAGUAGAGUCAACAUGGAAAUCCUCCCACAAACCAAUGGAAUAGUCUUCAGAUGACUCACCGUCCUGCUGUGUCUCUGUGUUGAUUAAGUUUACUUUGUUGCCAUAACUACAGCCACAUUUGAUUAUGGGGAAUUACAGAGAACGCAUUGUGCAGACCUCAGCUAAAUGCUGUUUUGAACUUCAGUUAAAUUCUCUUAAUACUUAUUCCAAACUGCUUACUAUCCCUGUUGCUCAAGAUUCAGGGAAAGGCUUCAUCUUUAUUCUGUGCGAGAUACAUUAAUCUUUUGGCUCGUGUAGGUGUUCUCUCUGGGACUGCACAUCGUCAUCUACACAGCAUAAUGAUUAUUUGUUCUAUCUAAUGAAGGCAAAAGGAGUCUCUAAAGCACACCCCUUUCCAGUCUGUUGGCACAGUUGACAUUCUGUGUCCCUACAACAAUAUACUGCUUUCUUAUACUCAGCUUGACAGAAAUACCUUUGCCAAAAAGUGGAUGUCACCCUUCAUCAGGCAUUUAAAACCUUGGAUGUCUAAAGAGGAAAAAACGUCUCUGGUUUCUGUCCCAGAAUUAUUAGAAAAUGAUGAGCCAGUGAGGAAACAGUGAUACAAUUCCAGCUUUAUGAAACUAUACAAUAACUCCCACCUAUUGACAUUAUGAUAUAAACGAUAAAGGACUUCCUUCUAUGCUUAGAGCUUCGUAGUUCAUCAUGAGGUUUAUCAUGUGGCUUUCCCAGUUGUGUAUUUCUGGCUGUGGCUGCAGGCUCUAAAACAGUCCAUAAUUGAAGGAAGGCACAGUUGGAAUAAGCAGGCAUUACAUGCUGGAGUGGGAGGCAGGACCAAUAAGCAUUUCUUACCACCCACUUAACAAUGCUGGGAAAUCAACACAGGCUAAUUACUUUGUAAGCACUAGGAGAGGCAUUGAUGAUGAAGUGAAGCUCUUGAUGUGCUCAUUAGCUCUUGAUCUUUCCUCAGUGUAUCGCUCACCCUCCCGUUCUGUCUCUGCAGCUCACAUCAAUGCGCUCACAUCAAAAGUAGCUCUGCUCACAAAGCUGCCCGACAACUGGAAACCCAACAUCUCCUGUGGGUUCAAGCCAUCGAAGUCUCUGAAUAUACUGCACCACCUACUGAAAAAGCUUACUGGGUUAGAGGAAGGACAGUACCUGAUUGCGCACAAGGCAGGGGAACCAUUUGUGACCCUAUUAAAAGUGGCUAAUGGGAAAGUGAGUCGGGGGGCAUACAACCUGCAGCAGGUCCACAGCUCCGUCCCCCAGCCCCCCACAUCCGGCCUCGUCCCCUGG